CAUUAAAUAUGAGAGUUGCGACACUCUUUGAUCUCGCCGCCACGCUGUCACGUGGUUCAUGUAGCUCUCAAUAGUUCCAAACAACUCCGCGCUGUCAACCAGUUUGAAUGGUUUUAAGCGGGACAGACAGGCUUCAACUAUAUUUGCAGCAAUUAUAGGAAUUGGCCAGCCACUUCGGACCAGACUUCUCCAGACGAUAGAUGGAUGUACUAGGGUCCCAGUUUUCUGCAGCUCGGAGCUGAUGGUACUGCUGGACAUCUUCUAAUUGCAAGGCAAGUAAGCAUGAUGUGCCUUUCAUCUGCUGCAGUAAGUUUCUUUGGGUGCCAUUGCUGACCAGUCCUCAAUUUCUUUGUGCUUUUUCAACAGAGCUUGGGCAGCACAUCUGAAGCAGCGCAUCCGUCUUGUGUCUUGUUGCUGCGUCUUGCCGUGGUAUAUGGUUUUUUUUGGCUGUUCCUCACCCAGUUCAGUUAAUGUUAAUAUUACUGUAUAUAUUGUAUUUAAAUUUUUAUUUUGAUGCUUUGGAAAUGUUCUUAUAACGUUUAUGCCAAUAAAACCCCUUGAAUUGAA